rfam:Oryza glumipatula chromosome 9, whole genome shotgun sequence.
AAUAAGUGCAGUUUUGCACUAUUCACGUUCAACGUUUGACCGUUUGUCUUGUUUAAAAUUUUUUUAUGAUUGGUAUUUUUACUACUAUUAGAUGAUAAAACAUGAAUAGUAUUUUAUGUAUGACUAAAUAUUUUUAAUUUUUUUCACAAAUUUUUCAAAUAAGACGGCCGGUCAAAUGUUGGACACGGAUAUCUAUGGCUAUAUUUAUU